UACGUAGGGGGCUAGCGUUGUCCGGAAUCAUUGGGCGUAAAGAGCGUGUAGGCGGCCCGGUAAGUCCGCUGUAAAAGUCAAAGGCUCAACCUUUGAAUGUCAGUGGAUACUGUCGGGCUCGAGUCCGGAAGAGGAGUGUGGAAUUCCUGGUGUAGCGGUGAAAUGCGCAGAUAUCAGGAGGAACACCAAUGGCGAAGGCAGGUCCCUGGGUUGACACUGACGCUCAUGCACGAAAGCGUGGGGAGCAAACAGG
rnacentral:rRNA from 1 species